UACGUAGGCAGCGAGCGUUGUUCGGAAUUACUGGGCGUAAAGCGUGCGUAGACGGUUACAUAAGUCGGGUGUGAAAGCCCCGGGCUCAACCUGGGAAUUGCAUUCGAGACUGCGUAGCUAGGGUGCGGAAGAGGGAAGCGGAAUUUCCGGUGUAGCGGUGAAAUGCGUAGAUAUCGGAAGGAACACCAGUGGCGAAAGCGGCUUCCUGGUCCAGCACCGACGUCAGGCACGAAAGCGUGGGGAGCAAACAGG
rnacentral:rRNA from 1 species